UGUAGCUACUUUGUAGUGGUAAAUCUUUUGUCGAGAUUGUUUACAGAAGUUGGUCGGCCCAUAUUGGCCAUCUACACCUAAACCUUUGAACAAAAUUUUGAAGAAUUAUGGUAUUCAAAUUUCAAAGAGAGAACGUAUGUAGCUCAAGUAAGAAAGACGUCCUUGCCCCAAGUUGGUAUAAAUGUGAGUGCUCGGAAAUAAUCUUUCGUCAAACUGAAUUGAGUGGUUUCUUGGGAGAGGAAAAGUGUGAAGACAAUAUGUCUCCCAGCUUUCCAUGCAAUGAAGAAAGUCCAUCGAGAUUCGCUCAUUACAAAAGCUAGCGUGUUGCCUGUUGUAUCAUAAAUAUGUGUAGAACAAAUUAAUUUCAUGUUCCUGUGCGUUUUCUGUUAUAGCAGGAAGUAUUAAGACAGGUAGCUCUUUGUAAAGUCAAUUGUUUUUCAUAAAAAAUUGUCCGAAAUCUUAGUCCCAUUUACAGAAAUCGCAUGCAAUGUAAGAGAAGACAGCAAUUUUGCAUCAAACGACAAUGAUUAUCGACAAUGAAAGUGAAACAAAAAUGAGACACAAAGACUAUAGCAACUAUGAAAUAAAUAUAUCACAGAUGAAAA